UGUUGGGUUAAGUCCCGCGAACGAGCGCAACCCCUGCAUUCAGUUGCCAUCGGGUAAUGCCGGGCACUCUGGAAGGACUGCCAUCGACAAGGAUGGAGGAAGUGGGGAUGACGUCAAGUCAUCAUGGCCCUUAUGUCCAGGGCGACACACGUGCUACAAUGGCCGGCACAACGGGAAGCGAGUUCGCGAGGACGAGCGGAUCCCUUAAAGCCGGUCGCAGUUCGGAUUGAAGUCUGCAACUCGACUUCAUGAAGCUGGAAUCGCUAGUAAUCGUGGAUCAGCCAAGCCGCGGUGAAUACGUUCCCGGGCCUU
rnacentral:rRNA from 1 species